UUUCCGUAGGUGAACCUGCGGAAGGAUCAUUAAAAAUGAAGCCGGGAAACCGGUCCUUCUAACCCUUGAUUAUCUUAAUUUGUUGCUUUGGUGGGCCGCGCAAGCACCGGCUUCGGCUGGAUCGUACCCGCCAGAGGACACAACUCUGUAUCAAAUGUCGUCUGAGUACUAUAAAAUAGUUAAAACUUUCAACAACGGAUCUCUUGGUUCUG
rnacentral:misc_RNA from 1 species